GAGACCUUUGAUUCCAGGUGGCCCAGCCAGGCCCCUGUCUCCCCUCUGACCUUUAAAGCCUGAACCAGGAGUCCCCUUAUCAUUGACAAAGAAAAAUGAGAACGAGUUGUCAGUUAUCUCCAGCAAGGAAUCUCUUUUGAUGAUCAAAAAGAGGAGUGUGAAUGGCACGUGGCCUUUCCAGCCUGACUCUGUCUGCCACAUGCACAGAUACACAACUGAAAGAGACUGGAAUGCCAGAAGCACUGGGCCCAUGGCUGUACAGAUGUGGGACUGCAAACACAAGAAUAUGAAGAGAAAAAUGAUUCAUUAACUCGUCCCACUGCAGACUUCAACCCACAAUCCACCAAGGAAGGAAAUCUCUGGAGGGUGGUGACUGCUGGAUGAGGCUGUCCUCCCAGAAAGGAACACAGCAGGAAAAGGCCCGAAGGACCAAUUGGUCCAACUGAGCCCAUUUCACCGACAGGACCCGGAAAUCCAGGAUCUCCUCGAGGACCUACAGAGAAUUACAAAAACAUGUGGUCUUGGGAAAAGGGAUUAAGGAGAAAGCACUAGGAGCAUUUCUCCAUGACCACAGACUGCCGGGAUGAAACAUGUUCAUGCAGACAUGGGAAGGAACAACACAUUCCUCAACUUCCAAACUCAUAAGGCAAGCCUGGAUGGCCUGGGUAUCCUGAUGGGCCCACUGCACCUCUUGACCCUCUAGGUCCCUGGAAAAGAUGGCAAAAGAUCUUUUUGUGAACACAGCAAGAACUUGCCCUUUUCUACACAAAAUGAGCCCCUCCAAAAUGCCUCCAUCACUUGGACUCAGCCUACUGGCCACUGGAUUCCACCCAGAAUCUUACACCAGCUUGCAUCAUGCCUGAAACCUCCCUGUGACUAGAGCAGCCCAGCUCCAGUUUCUGGGUAAUACCGGACAAGGCACAGUUAUACAUUAUUAAUGCAUUGAGAGUACACUUUGUCAGCAAUUGUGCUGCAGGUGUGGGGACUUGAUACAGUUCAUCAGUGAACAUCUUUUUGAAGGGCAUAACAAGAGGAACCCAAAGCCAUAGAGUGUAAUUCAGCAACAAAAUUAAACUCUCUCUUCUUCUUGCAUGUUCUUAUGGUGAGAAUAUGGCAGAGUGCUACAUCUUCUUGGGAGAUCCUUCAUAUACUGUAGAAGAAGGUGUCACAUCUUGGAUUUCAUAGAGAAAAUAUUCUGUUGCAAAUACUUUUCUAGGCCUGCAAAAGAGCAUGCUCCUGAAAUUGGAACACCAUCUAAACCAGGAAAUCCUGGGACUCCAGUUGGCCCCUAAAAACAGAUCUCCAAGACCACCUCUCUGAGAUGGCUGGGAUAAACUGCAAAUCUUCCUGGCUCCACCAAUAUAAGUAUCACCUUUUGCAAGCCUAGGACUCCGAUGAGCGUUGUGUUUUCCCACCAGAAAAAUGAGGACUCAUUUUAGACAAAGAGACUUUGUACACAAUUAGAACAAACCAAGAGAGUUCCCUCUUUCAAGUCUCAAUAUGCCAAUUAUCUUAAGUUUUUCUAGCUCACAUUUUUCAUAAUCACUCUCAUAUCCUAGUGCCUCAUUUAAAACAUGUGAAGUUUCCUGGAGAAAAAAAAUAAUAGUCAUUAGCCAACAUAUUUACAAAAAGUAUCAACUUUAAUAGACUGUGUUAAAAUGGGUUGGGAGGUUGAAGAAUGUAACUUAUCUAAAAAAGGCUCUAAAUUGAGUAUUUAUACCUUCAUUACCAUACAGAUGAUCUUCACAGAUUUUAUUAACUUUUCCAAGGUAAUAUAUAUUCUCCUGAAGCAAAAUUACUUCCCAUGCCAACUGCAUUUUUCAGUUUAUAGCACUGGUGUGGAGUUGUUACAGAUUUGUUGCAGUUUUUGUUCUGUGAUGCUAAACAACUAUUCAAUCAUAGAUUCAAAGUGCUGAAUAAAGCAACCUUUCUAAUCAGGCUUCCCAUGUGAGCUGUCUACACUUCCACCCUACAAAAAUCUAAAUAUUUAUCGGACUUUAUUUCUCUUACUCAUCUUUUUCAUUUUAUAUCAUUAUCCUUGUUUACCUGUAACUUGUUCUGUUUCCAAACUGAAAACUGUUUUGCUUUCU